AUUUAUUUUUAUUUUUUAAUUUUUUCCGUCUCCCCACGUAUCGGCCCGGAAUUUACUAGACACAUAAACUUGUGACUAUAGACUCGUACGGAAUAAUAUGUUUGAUGGUUAGACCAAACUUUUAAAGGGUGUGGCUUUCGUCAUUAAAUACUUGGUUCAACAAUAUGUCUGACAAAAUGGGAAAUGAAGAACAGAGUAGCACCAGCCCGGCUGAUAAAAAAUGGGUUCAAUUUGAUGAAAAUAACGAUGUCAAAAGACAUGUUGAACCUAUUCCUCCUACACCAACAGUAUCAAACUACAAUGGAGCAGUCAUAGACACAGAAACUGUUCAAAUUGACAUUGAUAAACUAAAACAUUUGGCCCAGUCAAAAGUACCUGAUGCUGAAGGCCAAGUUGAAGAGUUGCAAAAAACUGUUAAUCCAACUAUGAGAAAUGUUAGUCUUGAUGAUCUUGAUGGAGCUGAUAAUUUAGCAACAGUUGUAGAUCCUUCAAUCUCCAGAGGAUUUUCAAAUGGUGAUGUAAUAGUGACUGUUUUACCAGUCAAUCAAAAGUGGCCUUGGAUAACUCCAGCCGAAUUUCGUCCAGAGCUUGUACCUGAAGAAUUGAUGGCAGAAGGACUUAGUUUGACAGUUGAAGAUUAUGUCCAGAUCAUGGAAAAUCUAGUACAUGAUGUUCGCUUUACAGCUUACAAUUUGUGCUACAAAAGGCUAUUGAUGGCUUGGCUUUUGGCUUCCUUUAUUGUUUUGCUCGGGUUGCUUUUCUCUGGCGCUAAAGGCAUCACUCUCUUUGGAUGCGGGGUGAUCUGGCUAAUCAUAAAUGCCGGAGCUAUUUUUGUCUGCAUGUGGAUGAAGAACAAAAUGAACCAUGGACUAGAAAAAGCGGUUGCUAAAGCGAAUCAAACAUUAACACGCCAUCGCAUUAUUUUAGGAGUUGACGAUCGUGGCAAGCUUUCGUGUCACAAAACCCAUCUUUGCUUCAUAUAUUUUGAUACAACGGACUGUGUGAGAAAAUUGCAAUCGCUUCUGGAUGCGGAAGAGCACACGAAUCGAUCGGAGACUAACGCGGAGGAUCUUCAACGCCAGAGACAGAUGCGCCAGCGAAUGGAUAUUGACGAUACUGACAUCGUGGUGGCUGGCGCCAACCCAAUUCGCAUAUCGCGAAAACAAGAGAGCGCUGAACGGCUGCUGUUACGCUACGCCCAAAGAUGGGCCAAGGAAUUCCUUCGUCACAGACUCGAUUGGAGUGUAGACGACAGCUACAAUACCUACAAUUCUGCUAACCCUUCCUUUGGAAUUGCCCCUCACGCCAACUAUCCCCGUCCCCGCCAUCAUAGCUCCGCCCUCUGCCUCUGCCAGUUUAUCGAAGAUUAUUUGAGAAACAAACCUCGCAAAGAUCCGCGCAGUUGUUGUUCUUGCUCCUGCGCGCCUCUCGAAUAACUCUAUUAGUGGCUUCCCUUGUCCUCCUCUCACGCUCGUCUACUAUUAGAAUUAUGAUUAGUGUAGUCAAUUUUAAAUUUAACCUCUAGCAUCGCUUAUUUCUUGCAAUCUAUAUUUAACACUUCCCUUGCUAAACAACCAACCUCUUGAACCUGAAUGAGCAUUUUAAAACAUUCAUUGCCAAGACGACACAUUCUGCCGUAGAUGUUUCGUUUUUAUAUAUAUUAUAUACAUAUAUAUAUUUUCAAUUAAGUAGCAGAACAUCGUCAGUAGUUAAGAAACUUUGGUAAUCUGUAAAAAAAAAACCAUUUUCGAAACUCCGAUGAACCUUAAAUUUGUUGCCUUACCCCAAAGAGUUUUUCUUUAAAUGUUGGAUUGUUUUUGCAAAUGUCUUGUGUGUAGGCAAGGGCAGGCAUAUUGCUUCUUCGUUACAGCCAGAGAUGGGCUAAAGGAUUGGCUCGACAAAGCCUGGACUUGCAGCUGCUUGCAGCAAUCAAUGCCUACAAUGCCACAGGUCCAUAUUAAUUUCUUUAAAAUUUGCCCUUUGACCGACUUUAGUUCAUGCUUCAUCACAUUCCAUUUUUUUCCAAAUCUUAUUCGUUUAAAUCCAUACGAGUUUCAACGAUUUUAAACACAGUUGAAAAAAAAAGAAUGUUGAAGCGAAAACUAUGAUCGUUAUUUUUUUAAAAAGAGAACUAAAUCCAUAUAUCAUAAGAAUAUUAAUAUUUCCCUAGUUAAGUUAUCCCCUUUCAAUAUUUGGUAGCUUGUUAGUAAUCAAAAUUUUCCAAUUGGCGAUGUUUCUGUUGCUGGGCAUAUAACUUGUGCAUAUACAAAAAACCAGUAGGUGGUGGUGGUGGUGGUCAAUCCUCUGGUUCGUCAAAUGGUCUCCCUGUUUCCUCUCCAGUACCGCCCACGCCACGUCACUGUGCAACGUCUCAGUGUCCGUGUCAGUACAUUCAAAAUCACCUUUACAACAAGGCGCACCCUGCCCCUAAUAUAUGCUGGAAAAUGCCCAAUUUUGGAUUCCAUUAAUUGUCGAUGCUUAGCGUCUCUGCGUUGAUUCGAAAUCAGGGACUGGGCAGUGAAAGACAUGUUCUUCAUUAGCAAAAAACAAAAAAAUUAUUAAAUAUCCUUCUGACGUGUGUGAAUUCGAAAUAAUGAAAUGCAAUAUUUUGCUUGUGCCUAUUGACCACAGCUCUAGUGCAGCUACGACUGGAGCGUUUAAGAGGAGAUAGACCAACCUAUUUGAAACGUGUGACUUUUGUGUAUAACACUAUGACAGCUGUCCCUGGAUUUGCUCUAAAAAUCUAUUAUAACUGAAACCGUCCCCAUUUCUAGUAAAGUCCAUAUUGGUUUAAGAAGUGACCAUAAAGUAGCCUUGCCUUGGUACAACCAUUCGGCUCAAUAAGUAAACAGUUAUUCUUGCUUUCAGAAAAACGGUGCCUUUUGCCUCUGCUACUCCUAUAUAACAAUUCUACCACUUUUUUAAAUACAUAUAUUGGUUUAAUGUAAUGAAAAUCGUCCAACCGAGUUUUUUUAACUUUGUUUCUUAUUCUUCUUGUGAUUUGAAAAUACACUUCGCACAGUAACGGGCUCCUAUAA
rnacentral:misc_RNA from 1 species